rnacentral:lncRNA from 1 species
CAAACAUCCUGCAACUGUCUCUUUUUUGAAAGUUACACUCAUGCGGAGGAACUAUUUUGUGUUAAAUAUGUACUACUUUCUGGUAUGUGCUUUCUGGACGGGCCUGAAUUAGUGGUGUUACACCAAAACGAGCGUGAUGAGGACGGUAUGGGCGUGCUAGAAUCGUACUAUAGUCGUAAACAGCGUGGUGUAAACGUGGUAAAGUCGUAGUGGAAGCGUAGUUGGGUUGCGGUGAGAACUUGAUGGUUGUAGUGAGGUUGUAAUGACGUCGCUGUGAGAUCGUAGCGCAGUCUCUCCGAUUAGAAUCACGCUUUCUCUACGCUCUCGUUACGAUGAUACAGCGACCUUUGCGAUCUUACCACGACCUCAGUGCGCUCUCACUACGCUUCUACUACGACCUAUCUUGCCACGACCGCUCCACGAUUGUUUUGAACAUGUUUAAAGUUGACCACGCUCAUCACGAUCUUGAAGACCUCACUACGACCGUGAUACGACCUUACUACGAGCUACGAUAUCGCACUACGAUCGUCAAAAUUUGCAUUUUUUUCACAGAUCGUAGUGCGAUCGUGGCCCAGUCGGACUGCGGUAUUAUGGAAUGACGGAAUGGCAGAAUGACGGGAUGAAGGACAAGUGUGAAACUAUAUAUAUGGCCUCGACCUAAGUCAACGAGACUAUAGAAAUAUUUGCCUACAUGUACAUGUAUUAGAUAUAGUCUUUUCAUAUUUGAGUGACGUCAUUCACGAAGCCGACAAAAUCUGAUUUACAUAGCGAAAAUAAAAAGUAAUAUUUUUAUAUUUUUCUCUUCUUCUUGGAAGAGCAAUUUGUUUUGAUAAAAUAGGAGUUAUAGUGUCAUAAUCUCUUAUGCACCCAGUCAACCUUGUGUAAAGAAUACCCAGACACAGUAACCCAGCUAACACAUAAUAUUUUCAUGAUAUUAUUGACUGGUUAUAUGUAUGUUUGUCAAAAAUAUUUACCAAAAAAUAUUUUAUAGACAUUUUUUUUAAAUCAGAAAUUAUGCAUGAA